rnacentral:rRNA from 1 species
GACGAACGCUGGCGGCGUGCCUAAUACAUGCAAGUAGAACGCACAGUUUAUACCGUAGCUUGCUCCACCAUAGACUGUGAGUUGCGAACGGGUGAGUAACGCGUAGGUAACCUGCCUGGUAGCGGGGAUAACUAUUGGAAACGAUAGCUAAUACCGCAUAAUAUUAAUUAUUGCAUGAUAAUUAAUUGAAAGGUGCAAUUGCACCACUACCAGAUGGACCUGCGUUGUAUUAGCUAGUAGGUGAGGUAACGGCUCACCUAGGCGACGAUACAUAGCCGACCUGAGAGGGUGAUCGGCCACACUGGGACUGAGACACGGCCCAGACUCCUACGGGAGGCAGCAGUAGGGAAUCUUCGGCAAUGGACGAAAGUCUGACCGAGCAACGCCGCGUGAGUGAAGAAGGUUUUCGGAUCGUAAAGCUCUGUUGUAAGAGAAGAACGGGUGUGAGAGUGGAAAGUUCACACUGUGACGGUAUCUUACCAGAAAGGGACGGCUAACUACGUG